UACGUAGGCAGCGAGCGUUGUUCGGAGUUACUGGGCGUAAAGGGUGUGUAGGCGGUUGUUUAAGUUUGGUGUGAAAUCUCCCGGCUCAACUGGGAGGGUGCGCCGAAUACUGAAUGACUAGAGUGCGGGAGAGGUGAGUGGAAUUCCUGGUGUAGCGGUGAAAUGCGUAGAUAUCAGGAGGAACACCGGUGGUGUAGACGGGCUCACUGGACCGUAACUGACGCUGAGACACGAAAGCGUGGGUAGCAAACAGG
rnacentral:rRNA from 1 species